CUCUUUCCAAGACACCAUUCUUCAUUUUCUGUUCCCCAAACAGGCCAUUGGAUGCAUACUGGCACCAGCCAGGUGGAGGCACCACCAGUUUUAAAUUCCUUUAGAGGAUGCUCAUCUAUCCAACAUCAACUCUUGGAUUCUCAGGAUCUUCUUUAAUGACAACAACAUUAGAGGCCCAGGCACACAGAUUGAAGUAGCCUAUGAUGCCCAUUUGAAAUAUACUUGGGUUGAGAAUACUCCAGCAAGAGAAAUACACAUUUUGUGACUAUCACCUGCCUGAAACCUUGGAAAACAUGGAAAUAGACAUUAUUUCAGUUUCAAAGUGAAACAAAAUCUUGAGGGGCAUGAAAUCACCUGAAGCUAAAUACCAAAAGUCCUAGCAUGAAAUUUCACAAGACGUAAAGGCUGUUUGGAAUCUUUAGAAAAACAUAAUUUUUAAAGAGGCAUUAACCCUCAGGAAUUUUUAAAACCCUUCAGUACUACAUAUCACCGUAACACUUUUUUUUUCAUCAAAAUCAAGGUGUUCUAAGGUUCCAGUGUUUUGACAAAUAUGACAAAUAUCAUUUGAGAUAUUCUGUCUACCUACAUUUUCAUUUCAAACCUACACUGCAGCUUCAAUAUUAAUCCUUUCAGUUUUUAUGUAAGAAAGGAGAGGGAGAAACACAGACCUGUGGUAUUUAUUGUGAGUGAUAUCUCAUUUUGCUCUCACAAGUGCGUGGUAUUUAGAAGAUACCACAAUUUAUUUUUUUCUUCCAGGAAAGAAAGAGCCAAGUGCAAGGAGCCCAACAGAACCCAUGGAUGUAUUCAAAUCCUUGAAGUAGAAGGAACCUAGUUCACAAGAACCCACAGUGCUAAGUGAGAACACACUACGCAAUCUAUUAUGAGCAAUAUACUUCAUAGGUGGACCUUAUUUUCAGGUAGAUCUUCGAAGAACACCACUACCUUCUUUUCCCCCAAUAUUAACAUUGGGGCCAUCUAACAUGAAAGAAAAUUAGAAAAAAAGCAAGGAAUACAAGGCAGCCUCUGAUCCUCAGGAUUUUCUUUGCCUUGCUUCCUGGAAAAAUGGAGUUAUUUGCUCUUUGAAUUCAGCUGCUCUUUCCUUUGGGAACUUCUAAAACAGAAGAACAAGCAAUCACAAAAGGCAACUUCCUAACACUAACUGGAGAUCCUAGAAUGAUUUUGAGGUCUAGUAAAACUGUGUUAAAAUAGCAGGCUGUUUCUUUACAUUUUAGGGAUUUUCUCCAGUCCUGUCUUGAAAGCUAAUAGAGGCUGUAUAUAGGGUAUUUUGUGAAAUGGGCUAGCAACACUCUCUACAGCUAGAGUGGGGGGCGGUCAGUUGUGCCUCUCUGCUUUAGGGAACAGCCUGUUUUCUCUCUCAGUUUAUGACUGUUGUUUGAUGUUCUGAAUUCGAAGAAAUGAAGCAGUGCUACAUUGCAACCCUCCAGCAAGAAUAUAUUAUGUUUAUUGCUACUGCUUUGUGUAUGCUAUGAGCAUAGCAGUUGCAUAAAGUUUCCAGCACCUAAAACAACUUAAAGACUACCCUCCUAUACUAACUCUUUUGAUCCCUCUGGCAGGAAGAUAUUUGGAGGGGACACCUGUGUGAACCUAUUGGGCAGGCCUCCAUCUCUCUAGAGAAAUAAAGGUUCUGCUUUCAAAUGCUUCAUUGCUUCUAUGCUAUGGGCUUGAUACUAGCUGGCUGUUCUCUUUGAGCAGUGGGUUUAACUCUGAUACGAUCUUGAAAUCCAAUGCUACUUUUGGCGUCACCUACUUCAGUGUAUGCUGACUCCUACCCUAGUCUUGCUGUUUCUUCAGACCUUGCCAAGUCUAGGCUGUAAUCUAGCAUCUUCUAAAUUUCUAGUGUGAUAAGGUGGACCACUGAGAACAUGUGCUAAACUGGUGGAGUUAGAACAACCAGGUUAGCACAUAUUAAAGUGUGUCUUCUCUACAGUAGACUCUUAAAAUGUGUUAAUAUGUGUUGGCAAAUAUAAGCUAACAAGGCAGCAGUAAAUCCUAUUCUAGGCAAGGCCUCAGAUCUCUUCAUACCUCAGCUACCUUCUUCUCUUCUUAGCCCUGCAUCUUUUUCUCAUUUUCUUCCACCUCCUCCCUCAUUGUUCCAUGUGGGUACAACUGAAAAAUUGGGUUUCACAGGACUGUUCAGUAGGAAUUCCAUGAAUCUGGCCAUAUAUUUUUUGUGACAGAUGGAUGAGAGCAAAUGAUAGGUCUCAGUAGUUAAGUUGCCAGUCUGAUACAUAGCAAAUCCAAGUUUAAUUCUCUUUUCCACCACCACCAGUGUUUCCUGUAAGCUGAGUGCUUGUGAGGCCACUCAGGAGAGAUUCCAGUGCUGCCCAGCUGAUUAGCAGAGUGCCCACGGCUAGGUUUGUGUUUCUACUAGUGGUGCACAUUUGUGCAUGCUUCAGUUCAUAUUGAAAAAUGUAUUCCACACAUGGAUGGAAAAAAUCCACACAUAGGUGGACAAAAUAAAGGGAACAUUGACCACCACUUUCUUGCAUGAAUUUGAUUAAGUCUAAAAAUCACCACAUCCUUUGUUUAAAAUGGGAUUAAAACAUUAUCCUCACAGGAAUGUCAUGAGAAUAUAUGUAUUAAAGAUUGUGAUGCUCACAUACACUACAGUGAUGAAAGCAAUGUAGAUGCAAACUUUUUUCUGUGAGAUUUUUUUUCCCAUGAAAAAGUAAGAAAAUUACAUAAGAGAUCAGAGUGGCAUAAGCCAAAAGUUGUGACUUUCCCAACAUGAAGCAAGAGUCUUGUUUUGUACUAGAAAUAUCUAAAUGAGGUGUAGAGAGGAAAGUGAUGAGCUGCAGAAAAAAUAUAUUUGAUUGUUUUUAUAGCCACUAAGUACAAAAACACAGUUAGCAGAAUGCAUAUUUUAAUUCACAGGUUGCAAUAUAGCUUAGAGAUUGUUUCUUAUCAAAAGGUAGUUUUAAAAAAAAUCCACCAAUUAUGUGGAUUUUUAAUAAGUAUUAUUUUUGUAUUUAAGAGACGCUUCAAAAUGUGCUGUGUAAUAUUUUUCUUUGAUUUUUUUUUCCCCAUGGGAGAAUACCCCAGAACUAUAGCACAUGCCAAUAGCUUCCUCAUGCUAACAUAUUGCAUCUGCAUUUAUCUCUCAUAGAAGGAACAUUGCAUUGUCUAGUGGGUGGAAAUAAAAGAUAAGAGGAAAAAGCAGUCAGGAGAUUUAAAAAAAAUUAUUUAGAACUCAAUAUUUCAUGUGGUUUGCUUAUACCUCCAGGAGCAACUGUUUGAAAAAGUGAAUGUUUUCUUCUGACUAUUUCCAUCUUUAUUACACUAAUGAAAAAAUAUAAAUACUGUAGG